rnacentral:rRNA from 1 species
GCUAUACAUGCAAGUCGAGCGGACCGACGGGAGCUUGCUCCCUUAGGUCAGCGGCGGACGGGUGAGUAACACGUGGGUAACCUGCCUGUAAGACUGGGAUAACUCCGGGAAACCGGGGCUAAUACCGGAUGCUUGAUUGAACCGCAUGGUUCAAUCAUAAAAGGUGGCUUUUAGCUACCACUUACAGAUGGACCCGCGGCGCAUUAGCUAGUUGGUGAGGUAACGGCUCACCAAGGCGACGAUGCGUAGCCGACCUGAGAGGGUGAUCGGCCACACUGGGACUGAGACACGGCCCAGACUCCUACGGGAGGCAGCAGUAGGGAAUCUUCCGCAAUGGACGAAAGUCUGACGGAGCAACGCCGCGUGAGUGAUGAAGGUUUUCGGAUCGUAAAACUCUGUUGUUAGGGAAGAACAAGUACCGUUCGAAUAGGGCGGUACCUUGACGGUACCUAACCAGAAAGCCACGGCUAACUACGUGCCAGCAGCCGCGGUAAUACGUAGGUGGCAAGCGUUGUCCGGAAUUAUUGGGCGUAAAGCGCGCGCAGGCGGUUUCUUAAGUCUGAUGUGAAAGCCCCCGGCUCAACCGGGGAGGGUCAUUGGAAACUGGGGAACUUGAGUGCAGAAGA